AGGACGAACGCUGGCGGCACGCUUAACACAUGCAAGUCGAACGGAGAAUUUUGGUUACUGAGAAUUCUUAGUGGCGGACGGGUGAGUAACACGUGAGCAACCUACCUCAGAGAGAGGGAUAGCUUCUGGAAACGGAUGGUAAUACCUCAUAACAUAACUGAAAGGCAUCUUUUGGUUAUCAAAGAUUUAUCACUCUGAGAUGGGCUCGCGUCUGAUUAGAUAGUUGGUGAGGUAACGGCUCACCAAGUCGACGAUCAGUAGCCGGACUGAGAGGUUGAACGGCCACAUUGGGACUGAGACACGGCCCAGACUCCUACGGGAGGCAGCAGUGGGGAAUAUUGCACAAUGGGGGAAACCCUGAUGCAGCGAUGCCGCGUGGAGGAAGAAGGUCUUCGGAUUGUAAACUCCUGUCUUAAAGGACGAUAAUGACGGUACUUUAGGAGGAAGCUCCGGCUAACUACGUGCCAGCCGCGGC
rnacentral:rRNA from 1 species